CUUCGUCAAAUUAAUAUUCCGCGACGAGAAUGCGGACAACACCUUCAGCAGCACCAUCAUCGAACCGCCCAGAUAUGCCACCACCAUGCUAGUUUUUACAUUACUAUUACUCAUAGAAAUAGAAACUUGCCUUGGUUUAGAGAUUUUGUCAGAGGCUUCAAGUAUCAGGAAGCGGGUGACGUUCCAGGACUCAUCCUGGAGCCCUUGGGCUAGGACAUCGAACCCGUAGAGGGCGGCGGCACGAGGGGAGGCGAUGGCGG
rnacentral:misc_RNA from 1 species